UACAGAGGGUGCUAGCGUUGUUCGGAAUCAUUGGGCGUAAAGGGCGUGUAGGCGGUUUGUUAAGUCAUGUGUGAAAGCCCCCGGCUCAACCGGGGAACGACGCAUGAAACUGGCAAGCUAGAGUACCGAAGAGGGGGGUGGAAUUCCCGGUGUAGCGGUGAAAUGCGCAGAUAUCGGGAGGAACACCAAUGGCGAAGGCAGCUCGCUGGGACGGUACUGACGCUGAGACGCGAAAGCGUGGGGAGCAAACAGG
rnacentral:rRNA from 1 species